CCUACGGGAGGCAGCAGUGGGGAAUAUUGCGCAAUGGGCGAAAGCCUGACGCAGCGACGCCGCGUGAGGGAUGAAGGUCUUCGGAUCGUUAACCUCUGUCAGCAGGGAAGAACGGUCACUGUGCUAAUCAGCAGUGAAUUGACGGUACCUGCAAAGGAAGCACCGGAUAACUCCGUGCCAGCAGCCGCGGUAAUACGGAGGGUGCGAGCGUUAAUCGGAUUUACUGGGCGGAAAGCGCUCGUAGGCGGUAUGUCAAGUCAAGGGUGAAAUCCCCGGGCUCAACGUGGGAACUGCAUUUGAAACUGGCAAACUGGAGUGUGUGAGAGGAUAGUGGAAUUCCAGGUGUAGGAGUGAAAUCCGUAGAUAUCUGGAGGAACAUCAGUGGCGAAGGCGACUAUCUGGCACAUAACUGACGCUGAGGAGCGAAAGCGUGGGUAGCAAACAGGAUUAGAUACCCUUGUAGUC
rnacentral:rRNA from 1 species